rnacentral:rRNA from 1 species
GACGGAGGAUGCAAGCGUUAUCCGGAAUUAUUGGGCGUAAAGCGUCCGCAGGUGGCUGUUCAAGUCUGCUGUCAAAGCGCAGAGCUUAACUCUGUACAGGCGGUGGAAACUGAAGAGCUAGAGUAUGGUAGGGGUAGAGGGAAUUCCCGGUGUAGCGGUGAAAUGCGUAGAUAUCGGGAAGAACACCAGUGGCGAAAGCGCUCUACUGGGCCGAUAACUGACACUGAGGGACGAAAGCUAGGGGGAGCGAAAGGG